GCCACCAUAGCUCAGUUGGUAGAGCAGCGCCCUCGUAAUGCGCAGGUCGUGGGUUCGUGUCCCACUGGUGGCUCAA
rnacentral:tRNA from 1 species